rnacentral:rRNA from 1 species
GGGUCAGUAGGUUGGUCGUGCCACCGGUACGUACUGGUCUCACUGAUUCCUCCUUCCUGAAGAACCGUAAUGCCAUUAAUUUGGUGUUGCGGGGAAACAGGACUGUUACUUUGAAAAAAUUAGAGUGUUUAAAGCAAGCUAACGCUUGAAUACAUCAGCAUGGGAUAAUGAAAUAGGACGAUCGAUCCUAUUUUGUUGGUUUCUAGGAUUGACGUA